rnacentral:rRNA from 1 species
AUUGAACGCUGGCGGCAGGCCUAACACAUGCAAGUCGAGCGGAUGAAGGGAGCUUGCUCCUGGAUUCAGCGGCGGACGGGUGAGUAAUGCCUAGGAAUCUGCCUGGUAGUGGGGGAUAACGUCCGGAAACGGGCGCUAAUACUGCAUACGUCCUGAGGGAGAAAGUGGGGGAUCUUCGGACCUCACGCUAUCAGAUGAGCCUAGGUCGGAUUAGCUAGCUGGUGGGGUAAAGGCCUACCAAGGCGACGAUCCGUAACUGGUCUGAGAGGAUGAUCAGUCACACUGGAACUGAGACACGGUCCAGACUCCUACGGGAGGCAGCAGUGGGGAAUAUUGGACAAUGGGCGAAAGCCUGAUCCAGCCAUGCCGCGUGUGUGAAGAAGGUCUUCGGAUUGUAAAGCACUUUAAGUUGGGAGGAAGGGCAGUAAGUUAAUACCUUGCUGUUUUGACGUUACCAACAGAAUAAGCACCGGCUAACUUCGUG